ensembl:lncRNA
CAAAUCUUCAUAUCUAGCUUCAUGCAACAUUAUUUAGGUAUGCUCUUGCCUUGGAUGGUGUGUGAUAGCAAGUAACACCAGCAACAUGAAUUAUUUGUGGUCAACUGCAUAUUGAAAAUGGAGUUUACAGGAUUCAGUGUAGUAGUAACUUUGAGCCCAGGGACAUAUACCUUUUUUUGCAGUGACAAUGGGGUGGUAUAGAAUCUUACUCCAUAAUGCGCUUCCAACCCCCAGCUCAGCACAAGAUGAAGGAGAUGUGCAGUACCAGGAAAUAUUCUUCAAGAGGACCAAACAGUUGGUGGUUAAGAAGCCCUACACCACUUUCGGCAGAGCCUUAUCCAGCUGGCCAUUCACCGCAGACAGGACAAGCCCAUCGCCAUUGCACAAAGAGUCUCCGCUUCCCCAGUGCACCAUGCCAAACACAAUUGCCAGUGUACCGAAGCCAGAUAAAGGACUAUGGCUGCAUUUACACAGGCAGCCCAAUUCUGAUAUUUUUUCACUAAUGGGUCUUUUGAUCAAUCAGAUCAGCUCUGAAAAAGAUCUGUUGUGAAAAAAUAGCAGAAUUGGGCUGUGUGUGUAAACGCAGACGGUGUGAUUCAGCAUAAGAUCAUGUAGAACACACUGGAGGAUGGCUCAUAAUAAUGGCCAGGACGGAGCAAAUGGAAUGGUAUCAAACACAUUGAAACUGUUUGUAUUUGAUAUCGUUCCACUCUAGCCAUCACCAUGAGCCCGUCAUCCUCAAUUAAGGUGUCUCCAACCCUGUUUCUGCAGAACUACCCUCCUGUAGGUUUAUGCUCCUACCCUAGUUGUAACUAACCUAGUUCCUUUUUUAAAAACCAGCUAAUUAGACUCAGGUGUGCUAGGUUACUACAGUGCUACAGGAUGGGAGCUCUCCAAGAACAGGGUUGGAGAGCCCUGAUUUAGAACCCCCAUCAAAUAAAUAUAGAUAUUUUCUAUUAGUCUUUUAAAUUUGUCUGCCCUUAUGAAUUCACAGAAGACAUUUAUAUUAAAACUGUACAGGGCUCUGUAGCAUCAAACAGAUGCUAGACAUUCAGAUAUCCUCUGUAGACUCUACAGAUGGGACUUAUUCACCAUAAUAACCUCCUUAACCAAGCCUCAGAGCGUCAGGGACUGACUGGGCCAACCCAACAGCAGGUCCCUCACAAUGAGGGGUGGGCUUCAGCUUGGCACACAAUUCCAAAACCACAUGCUUGGGCUAUAUGGAGAUUAGCAUAAGUGCUAUGUACUGGUUGUGCAUCCCACCUAAACUUAUCUGUAAUUACUGUAUUGGGCUGGAGUUCUGCUCUUGUUAGUGUAUUUUUAAAAAUACUAUGCAUUUUUGGUGUCCUGUUGUGCAUAUAAAAUAUGCUAUGAAGCAAUGAUGCCCAAGCUGCGCAAAUAUUUGGAACUCAUUGUACAAGAUGAGAUGUUAUAUUUUACAUAAUUUAUUAAAAAAAAAAUAUAUAUAUAUAUAUAUAUAUAUGCAUAAUAUGUGCAGUAGAGUGGGAAAGUUUGAUGAGAAUAAAGACUCAGUUGUGGUACCCCUUUGGGUGGAUCAUAGUGCAAAAACAUUUUAGGGACCAUGGCCACAAGCAACACAUACUCCCUCUGUUGGACUCCUAUGAUAAGGCACUUGCAUCACUCAGUUACUGUUGCUGAUAAAACAUUGUAUGAACAUCAUUGCAUUGUUCGUAAUAAUGUUGAAAACGACUGAUUCUCUCUCAGUUGUAACUGAGUACCUGUAUAUUAACUAUAGACAGACCAAAUCAACAAAGUGGUAAUGAAUAGUAUUAGUGAUCUGGACGCACCUUUUUUAAAUAAACAGAUUUGGUGUAACAUGACAAGGGAAUGGAAUGGAGUACUAUCAAGUCAUUUGUUGACACAAAAAAACUCAUGAUUUUUAAAUAUCCAGUACACAUGGUCUGUUUAUCCGCCACCAGCAGAGAGCGCCAUUUCCACUUUAACCUCAACUAGCCUGGACCGCCACUCUUCGCAACUUGAUGUUUUAUUUUGUUAGUUGUGAGGACGACGCUUCAAUGGCACUUUUGUUUUGAAGAGAAAAGUCAAGCGAAAGGUUGAUGCAGCGUUUAGCUAGCUACCUACCGAGGUUGACUAGCUAGGUGGCUUGCUUAGUUGCUGCCUCAAGCUUCUUUUAAUCACACCGACAGAGUCAUUGAGUUUUGUUUGGUACACCAGAAGUAUACUGAACCAAAAUAAAAACGCAACAUGCAACAAUUUCAAAGAUUUUACUGAGUUACAGAUCAUAUAAGGAAAGCAGUCAACUUAAAUAAAUAAAUUGGGCCUUAAUCUAUGGAUUUCACAUGACUCGGCAGGGGUGCAGCCAUGAAUGGUCCUUGGAGGGCACACAUCCAGUAAAAAUGUUGGAUUACAUAAUGAAUAGUGCUGAACAAUUGGUGCUUUUUGUGGUCGUUCAUGUUCAAUUAUUAAAAUAAUCACUGUUUUCAAUUUCGAUCAUUUUGUAGACAGUAAAUGCACUAUGCAUUAUGUGGGUUGAAUGCUAUAACAAAAUAAAACAAAAGUAGUGACGGCC